rnacentral:rRNA from 1 species
AGGAGCUUGCUCCUUUGACGUUAGCGGCGGACGGGUGAGUAACACGUGGGUAACCUACCUAUAAGACUGGGAUAACUUCGGGAAACCGGAGCUAAUACCGGAUAAUAUUUCGAACCGCAUGGUUCGAUAGUGAAAGAUGGUUUUGCUAUCACUUAUAGAUGGACCCGCGCCGUAUUAGCUAGUUGGUAAGGUAACGGCUUACCAAGGCGACGAUACGUAGCCGACCUGAGAGGGUGAUCGGCCACACUGGAACUGAGACACGGUCCAGACUCCUACGGGAGGCAGCAGUAGGGAAUCUUCCGCAAUGGGCGAAAGCCUGACGGAGCAACGCCGCGUGAGUGAUGAAGGUCUUCGGAUCGUAAAACUCUGUUAUUAGGGAAGAACAUACGUGUAAGUAACUAUGCACGUCUUGACGGUACCUAAUCAGAAAGCCACGGCUAACUACGUGCCAGCAGCCGCGGUAAUACGUAGGUGGCAAGCGUUAUCCGGAAUUAUUGGGCGUAAAGCGCGCGUAGGCGGUUUUUUAAGUCUGAUGUGAAAGCCCACGGCUCAACCGGGAGGGUCAUUGGAAACUGGAAAACUUGAGUGCAGAAGAGGAAAGUGGGAAUUCCAUGUGUAGCGGUGAAAUGCGCAGAGAUAUGGAGGAACACCAGGGCGAAGGCGACUUUCUGGUCUGUAACUGACGCUGAUGUGCGAAAGCGUGUGGAUUCAAACAGGAUUAGAUACCCUGGUAGUUCCACGCCGUAAACGAUGAGUGCUAAGUGUUAGGGGGGUUUCCGCCCCUUAGUGCUGCAGCUUAACGCAUUAAGCACUUCCGCCUGGGGAGUAC